rnacentral:rRNA from 1 species
CAAUAGCGUAUAUUAAAGUUGUUGCAGUUAAAAAGCUCGUAGUUGGACUUCUGAUGUGGGACUGCGCCCCGGUAUUUUGCCGUUGGGUGCGGGCUCGCGUCUUCCUCUCGUAGUUGGAUGGUGCACUUAACUGGGUGCCUUCUGAAUAUGGGACCUUUACUUUGAGAAAAUUAAAGUGUUCAAAGCAGGCGCUCGCUUGAAUACAUUAGCAUGGAAUAAUAGUAUAGGACUUUGAUCUUAUUUGUUGGUUUUAAAGAUCAAAGUAAUGAUUGAUAGGGACAGUUGGGGGCAUCAGUAUUCUGAAGCGAGAGGUGAAAUUCUUGGACCUUCGGAAGACUAAC